rnacentral:rRNA from 1 species
GACGAACGCUGGCGGCGUGCUUAACACAUGCAAGUCGAACGAAGAGCGAUGGAAGCUUGCUUCUAUCAAUCUUAGUGGCGAACGGGUGAGUAACGCGUAAUCAACCUGCCCUUCAGAGGGGGACAACAGUUGGAAACGACUGCUAAUACCGCAUACGAUCUAAUCUCGGCAUCGAGGAUAGAUGAAAGGUGGCCUCUACAUGUAAGCUAUCACUGAAGGAGGGGAUUGCGUCUGAUUAGCUAGUUGGAGGGGUAACGGCCCACCAAGGCGAUGAUCAGUAGCCGGAAUGAGAGGAUGAACGGCCACAUUGGGAGGGAGACACGGCACAGACGCAUACGGGAGGCAGCAGUGGGGAAACUGGCGCAAGGGACGAAAGACAGACGGAGAAAGGCCGAGGGAGGGAGGACGGACGUCGGGUGGGAAAGCUCGGUUAAUCGGGACGAAAGGCCUUCUUGCGAAGAGGGAGAAGGAUUGACGGUAACGGAAAAGAAAGCCACGGCUAACUACGUG